GUGCCAGCAGCCGCGGUAAUACGUAGGUGGCAAGCGUUAUCCGGAAUUAUUGGGCGUAAAGCGCGCGUAGGCGGUUUUUUAAGUCUGAUGUGAAAGCCCACGGCUCAACCGUGGAGGGUCAUUGGAAACUGGAAAACUUGAGUGCGGAAGAGGAGAGUGGAAUUCCAUGUGUAGCGGUGAAAUGCGCAGAGAUAUGGAGGAACACCAGUGGCGAAGGCGACUUUCUGGUCUGUAACUGACGCUGAUGUGCGAAAGCGUGGGGAUCAAACAGGAUUAGAUACCCUGGUAGUCAAGGGCG
rnacentral:rRNA from 1 species